rnacentral:rRNA from 1 species
GGAGUAUGUUAUUUAAUACGAUAAUCCGCGUCAACCUUACCAUAUAUUGAAUAAUAUAUAUAAUAAUUAAAUAAUUUGCAUAUAUAUUACAGGUGUUACAUAGUUGUCUACAGUUCGUGCUGCAAAGUUUACGGUUUGGUCCAUUAACGAACGCAACUCUAUAUACAUAUAAUAUAUUAAUAUAUAUAAUAAUAUGUAUAGUUACUAUUUAAAUGCAUAGUAAUAAUAGAUAUAAGACAAAUCGUUAUGACCCUUAUUAUAUGGGCAAUAGACGUACUAUAAUAAUAUAAUAAUAAUAUUAGAUUAUAUAAUUAAAAACUAUAUAAUGUAUAAUAUAAAUUAUAUGAAUAUGUUAUAUAUUUGUAUAUAAUAUCAUAUGGAUUAUAAUCUGCAACUCGAUUAUAUGAAAUAAGAAUUGCCAGUAAUCUUUAUAAAGUAUAUAAAGGUGAAUCAUACAGUUGUUUCGCACUAAUUACUCGUCACACGGUCAAUUAAUAUAUAAUAUAAUGACUAAUCCAAUUAAACAAUAAAUACUAUUGAUCAUUCAGGAUUUAAUAUAUUACAAUUAUAAUAUUAUUAACUAUGAAUCAUUUUAUAACCUAAUUUAUGAACAAUAAAUAUAUAUAUAUUAAUAUAUUAAAUAUAAUAUUGUUCAUAAUAGUUUAAUAUAUAUAU